rnacentral:rRNA from 1 species
AUUGAACGCUGGCGGCAUGCCUUACACAUGCAAGUCGAACGGCAGCACGGGAGCAAUCCUGGUGGCGAGUGGCGAACGGGUGAGUAAUAUAUCGGAACGUGCCCAGUCGUGGGUGAUAACGUAGCGAAAGCUACGCUAAUACCGCAUACGAUCUAUGGAUAAAAGCGGGGGAUCGCAAGACCUCGCGCGAUUGGAGCGGCCGAUAUCAGAUUAGGUAGUUGGUGAGGUAAAGGCUCACCAAGCCGACGAUCUGUAGCUGGUCUGAGAGGACGACCAGCCACACUGGGACUGAGACACGGCCCAGACUCCUACGGGAGGCAGCAGUGGGGAAUUUUGGACAAUGGGCGCAAGCCUGAUCCAGCAAUGCCGCGUGCAGGAUGAAGGCCUUCGGGUUGUAAACUGCUUUUGUACGGAACGAAACGGUGAGCUCUAAUACAGUUUGCUAAUGACGGUACCGUAAGAAUAGGCACCGGCUAACUACGUGCCAGCCGCCGCGGUAA